UACGUAGGCAGCAAGCGUUGUUCGGAAUUACUGGGCGUAAAGAGUGUGUAGGCGGUGUUCCAAGUCUGGUGUGAAAUCUCCCGGCUUAACUGGGAGGGUGCAUUAGAAACUGGAAUGCUAGAGGAUGGGAGAGGUAAGCGGAAUUCCUGGUGUAGCGGUGAAAUGCGCAGAUAUCAGGAGGAACACCGGUGGCGAAGGCGGGUCUCUGGGCCGUAACUG
rnacentral:rRNA from 1 species